CAUCUGCUUCCAGACUGCAGUUGAUUCUGGGUAACUGAAACCACCAGAAAGCAAAACUGCAGGUACAAGCCAGUUCAGGUGAACUUGGACUUUGGCCUGAAUAAGGAGGAGAGAACUUCUGGACCCCCAAAAUUCAUGUUACCAGGAACAGGCAAAUGUGAGACCUCUGGAUUCAAGGUUUGAGAAGUUCUGAUCUAGAGGAAGAACUAAGAGAACAUGGUAACGAUACC